rnacentral:rRNA from 1 species
UACGUAGGAGGCGAGCGUUGUCCGGAGUUACUGGGCGUAAAGGGUGCGCAGGCGGCGGUUCGCGUGGAUAGAUGAAAUCUCCUGGCUUACCUGGGAGGAUGGUAUCCAGACGGGAUCGCUUGAGGGCCGGAGAGGGGCGUGGAAUUCCGGGUGGAGCGGUGAAAUGCGCAGAUAUCAGGAGGAACACCGGUGGCGAAGGCGGGUCUCUGGGCCGAUACUGACGCUGAGGAGCGAAAGCGUGGGGAGCGAACAGG